rnacentral:rRNA from 1 species
CGGACCUGCCCAGUGAAUUUUUUAACGGCCGCGGUACUCUGACCGUGCAAAGGUAGCAUAAUCAUUUGCCUUAUAAUUCAAGGCUAGUAUGAAUGGUUUGACAAGAGUGUAGCUGUCUCUUUGUAAUUAAACAKAAUUUUAUUUAUAGGUGAAGAAGCCUAUAUUGAAUUAAAAGACAAGAAGACCCUAUCGAGCUUUAAAAAAACGAGUAGGAUAAAGCAWUGAUGAACCCAGWUAACUGGCUAUUAGAAAUAUUAGSUGGGGCGAYUGAGGAACAAAAAAAGCUUCCUUUARACACAAAAAAUUAAACAAAUAUUGAUCCAAAACCUUUUGAUUAAAGAAAUUAGUUACCGUAGGGAUAACAGCAUUAUCUUUUUUAAGAGCUCCUAUCGAAAAAAAGGUUUGUGACCUCGAUGUUGGACCAGAAUAUCCUAAAGAUGCCACAGUCUUUAGGGGGUGGUCUGUUCCACCAUUAAAAUUCUACGUGAUCUGGU